rnacentral:rRNA from 1 species
ACACGACUACAUUAGACUACCCGGGUAGUCCCAGCUGUAAACUAUGUGCGUUAGGUGUGUCAGUGACCAUGUGUCACUGAGGUGCCGAAGGGAACCGUGAAACGCACCGCCUGGGAGUACGGUCGCAAGGCUGAAACUUAAAGGAAUUGGCGGGGGAGCACAACAACGGGUGGAGCUUGCGGUUUAAUUGGAUUCAACGCCGGAAAUCUUACCGGGACCGACAGCAACAUGAAGGCCAAGCUGAAGACUUUGCCGGAUUAGCUG